GAUGAAGAACGUAGCGAAAUGCGAUAAGUAAUGUGAAUUGCAGAAUUCAGUGAAUCAUCGAAUCUUUGAACGCACAUUGCGCCCCCUGGUAUUCCGUGGGGCAUGCCUGUCCGAGCGUCAUUACAACCCUCAAGCUCAGCUUGGUGUUGGGCCCCGCCGCCCCGGCGGGCCCUAAAGUCAGUGGCGGUGCCGUCCGGCUCCGAGCGUAGUAAUUCUUCUCGCUCUGGAGGUCCGGUCGUGUGCUCGCCAGCAACCCCCAAUUUUUUUCAGGUUGACCUCGGAUCAGGUAGGGAUACCCGCUGAACUUAAGCAUAUCAAUAAGCGGAGGA
rnacentral:misc_RNA from 1 species